rnacentral:rRNA from 1 species
UACAGAGGGUGCAAGCGUUAAUCGGAAUUACUGGGCGUAAAGCGCACGUAGGCGGUUUUUUAAGUCAGAUGUGAAAGCCCCGGGCUCAACCUGGGAAUUGCAUUUGAAACUGGAAAACUAGAGUAUGUGAGAGGGGGGUAGAAUUCCAAGUGUAGCGGUGAAAUGCGUAGAGAUUUGGAGGAAUACCAGUGGCGAAGGCGGCCCCCUGGCACAAUACUGACGCUCAGGUGCGAAAGCGUGGGGAGCAAACAGG